UGGACUCGCAGCCAGCCCCGAGCGAAAUCACACUGUCACAGUCACAUAGAUAUUACACAGCAUAUAGACAGAGGUAGCAUCAACGCCAAUAUGUCCACCGAUUCCGACAUCGACUUUAUAACUGGACUGUUGUAAAUGUACCGCGGACACAAAUGCCUCUGGAAGGUGAAGGCCAAGGGGUAUUUCGACAAAGUACGACGGAAUGCGGCAUUGGACGAGUUAGUGGCCUACUGCAGGCCCUUUGUAUCACAGUGGAUAAAGAAUGGGUUAAAAAAAAAUCAGAACCUGCGCACGGUGUUCCUGAAAGAACACAAAAAAAUUGAGCAGUCAAAAAGGUCGGGAGCAGGCUCGGACCAAAUCUACAAAACCUCGCUGUGGUUUGUCCUGGACCACGAGGCAACCCGGACAGGUUUCACCUCCCUCCCCCGGACUGCCACACCAGAGGCUGAAGACAGUGAGCCAUCUCUGUCAGCAUCUUUUGACCGUUCGGGCUAGUGGCCACGGGGAGGCUUUCUUCCUAUGACCAUAGAUCCAACCCCCUGUACUUCCGAACCAUGGAACCUGUGACACGCACGCUGUGCAUCUCUAUGACAACAGUGACGUCUGAGGAGAAGGGGGAAGUGGAAGGUGAUGGCCAGAAGCAAGGACCCGGUGUGCGGCAGCGAGGACGGCGCGGACUGGUGCAGCAUCAAGGGAGAGAAGUACUGUAUAGCUGCAGCAUUGGUGCAUUGGAUAUAAGAUGAUUUGUUAAAAAAAACGUCUAAUAUGACUUUUGGGUAUGCAGUUGACUGACCUGGAUUAAUCAAUUUGAAGAGAAUAGAGAUUUAUCUAUUAACAUAAUUAGUAAAUUUACUAAGGAACUGGUUUGAAGUAAUUUAAAACCCACAGAAACCGUUGCAGUUUGACAGAAGGUUUUAUUCACAAAAGGCAGUAUUUACUAAAUGUCAUUUUGAAACGCUAAAUAGAACCUGCCAUUGGCCCUCAUUCCGAGUUGUUCGUUCGUUGACGAUUUUCGCUAUGCUGCAAUUUGUUGCAAAAUGCGCAUGCGCAAGGCACGUAGGGCGCAUGCGCUUAGUUAUUUAACUAAAAACUUAGUAGAUUUGCUGUGGAUCCUGCGGCGCUUUCCAGUCGCUCUGCUGAUCGGUGAAUGAUUGACAGGAAAGGGGUGUUUCUGGGUGGUAACUGAGCGUUUUCCUGGAGUGUGCUAAAAAACGCAGGUGUGUCAGGGGAAAACGCGGGAGUGUCUGGAGAAAUGGGGGAAUGGUUGGCCGAAACGCAGGGCGUGUUUGUGACGUCAAACCAGGAACUAAAUGGACUGAGCUGAUCGCAAUCUGUGAGUAGGUCUGGAGCUACUCAGAAACUGCAAAGAAUUAUUUAUUAGCAGUUCUGCUAAUCUUUCGUUUGCAAUUCUGCUAAGCUAAGAUACACUCCCAGAGGGCAGCGGCCUAGCGUGUGCAAUGCUGCUAAAAGCAGCUAGCGAGCGAACAACUCGGAAUGAGGGCCAUUGAUCCCUGCCAGUUUCUAAAGCUGCUGCUGUUUCUCCUGCUGGGAUCCACCAUAAAGCUGUGUUUUUUUUUGUACACGAAAUGCCUACUUUGGAUUGAAGAGGAGUUAUCCUUAAGGAUUGAAUGAUUAAUAAAUGGGUUUACAUGUGGUGCCGAUUUCUGUUUUUGCUGGU